rnacentral:rRNA from 1 species
UGGGGAAUAUUGCACAAUGGGCGCAAGCCUGAUGCAGCCAUGCCGCGUGUGUGAAGAAGGCCUUCGGGUUGUAAAGCACUUUCAGCGAGGAGGAAGGUGGUGAACUUAAUACGUUCAUCAAUUGACGUUACUCGCAGAAGAAGCACCGGCUAACUCCGUGCCAGCAGCCGCGGUAAUACGGAGGGUGCAAGCGUUAAUCGGAAUUACUGGGCGUAAAGCGCACGCAGGCGGUUUGUUAAGUCAGAUGUGAAAUCCCCGGGCUCAACCUGGGAACUGCAUUUGAAACUGGCAAGCUAGAGUCUCGUAGAGGGGGGUAGAAUUCCAGGUGUAGCGGUGAAAUGCGUAGAGAUCUGGAGGAAUACCGGUGGCGAAGGCGGCCCCCUGGACGAAGACUGACGCUCAGGUGCGAAAGCGUGGGGAGCGAACAGGAUUAGAUACCCUGGUAGUCCACGCUGUAAAACGAUGUCGAUUUUGGAGGUUGUGCCCUUGAGGCGUGGCUUCCGGAGCUAACGCGUUAAAUCGACCGCCUGGGGAGUACGGCCGCAAGGUUAAAACUCAAAGGAAUUGAC